rnacentral:rRNA from 1 species
UACGUAGGUGGCAAGCGUUGUCCGGAUUUACUGGGCGUAAAGCGUGCGCAGGCGGUUUUGUAAGCCAGAUGUGAAAUCCCCGGGCUUAACCUGGGAAUGGCAUUUGGGACUGCAAGGCUGGAGUGUGGCAGAGGAGACUGGAAUUCCCGGUGUAGCAGUGAAAUGCGUAGAUAUCGGGAGGAAUACCGAUGGCGAAGGCAGGUCUCUGGGCUGACACUGACGCUCAUGCACGAAAGCGUGGGGAGCAAACAGG